AGAGUUUGAUCCUGGCUCAGAACGAACGCUGGCGGCAGGCCUCAAACAUGCAAGUCUAGGGGGUGUAGCAAUACAUCACCGGCGGACGGGUGCGUAACGCGUGGGAAUAUACCUAUCGAUUCGGAACAACUGAGGGAAACUUCAGCUAAUACCGAAUACGUCCUAACGGAGAAAGAUUUAUCGUCGAUAGAUUAGCCCGCGUUCGAUUAGCUAGUUGGUGGGGUAACGGCCCACCAAGGCGACGAUCGAUAGCUGUUCUGAGAGGAAGAUCAGCCACACUGGGACUGAGACACGGCCCAGACUCCUACGGGAGGCAGCAGUUGGGAAUCUUGGACAAUGGGGGAAACCCUGAUCCAGCCAUGCCGCGUGAGUGAUGAAGGCCUUCGGGUUGUAAAACUCUUUCGCGCACGACGAUAAUGACGGUAGUGCGAGAAGAAGCUCCGGCUAACUUCGUG
rnacentral:rRNA from 1 species